AUUGAACGCUGGCGGCAUGCCUUACACAUGCAAGUCGAACGGCAGCACGGGAGCAAUCCUGGUGGCGAGUGGCGAACGGGUGAGUAAAGUAUCGGAACGUGCCCAGUCGUGGGGGAUAACGUAGCGAAAGUUACGCUAAUACCGCAUACGAUCUAUGGAUGAAAGCGGGGGAUCGCAAGACCUCGCGCGAUUGGAGCGGCCGAUAUCAGAUUAGGUAGUUGGUGGGGUAAAGGCUCACCAAGCCGACGAUCUGUAGCUGGUCUGAGAGGACGACCAGCCACACUGGGACUGAGACACGGCCCAGACUCCUACGGGAGGCAGCAGUGGGGAAUUUUGGACAAUGGGCGAAAGCCUGAUCCAGCCAUGCCGCGUGCAGGAUGAAGGCCUUCGGGUUGUAAACUGCUUUUGUACGGAACGAAAAGGUUUGGGCUAAUAAGCUGAGCUCAUGACGGUACCGUAAGAAUAAGCACCGGCUAACUACGUGCCAGCAGCCGCCGUAA
rnacentral:rRNA from 1 species